ACUGAUCAUGGUAAUGAUUUCUCAUAAUAAUUAACAAUCAUUUAACGAAGUAGGAAACAGCUAUUUUUAGAAAAGGCCUGUGGGCUACUCAUGUGGUCCUUACGGGCACCACGUUGGUGACCCCUAGUCUAUAGGCUACCUUUAUGGAGAAUUAUGGACACAGCUGUCUAACAGCUUCUCAAAUCUAAGCUGUGGAUCUCUCCGGCUGUUUCUCCUUUCAGUGGCCUCCUUGAUAAAGAUCCUCUUCACACCAUCACUGGCGUUUGGUGAGUGGCUUAGAGUCGGGAUUGUGCAACAUUCUGUCCAUUUUAAAAACGUUUAUUUCAAACCCUGAUUAAUACUUUGUCCUUGAUUUGUUUUAAUAGCUCUUUAUCCUUUCAGGUUUUAUGAUACCCCAUAAUCCAUAACAAGCUCUGGGUUCUUCCAGGAACCGGUGAAUUUAUUUUCAGAUCAGGUCCACUUAAUUCAAAUCACUACAUGAGUCCAUUUCAAAUCCAGAUUGUAGCACUACAAAAUAUGGAUCCUUUAAGGCACUGUAGGUAGUGUUGGGCUUUAAUGUGCUGAAGACAAACCUGGCAUGGUUGCAGAUCAGCACACAGAUCACACAGCAGUUUAACGAUCCCAGUUUCUUCCCAAGCCUUUUUUUGUACCGACAAUCUCAGGAGUUCCUCCUCCUUCCCCAGCAGAUGUGAUGAAUCCCAGAGUCUAGUGCUGUAGGAAAGUUUAGUAUAUUCCUGAAAAUACUUUUCUACAACUGGCGUUGCUCUUCAGCUGUUUGAUAUUUACAGUACAGGCAAGAAGGUUUUCAUCUCCGACAGAACUUUUGGACAGUCCAGAGGAGUGAACAUUGCUUCUUUCAUGUUACAGUUUCUUAAUGAGUAAAACGUACAGUUUUGUUUGUGCAAACUUUCACUAAUGCUUACAGCCUGUAGAAAUGAAGGACUGUUGAGAAACAUGCUGCUUGUCUCAGUACUACUGAUGCUUAAAGGAGCCUGGACGUGGAACCUAAAAUCUGAAAACCAGAAAUGUCCAUCACUAGUUGUGUGAGCUCAUGAUCUCUACAGGGGUUGGCUGGACUGACACCUCAGCCUCAUCUUCACCAACACAAAAACUGAUUAAAUCCUAAAGACACCCACUCCACUGAUGAUGGGGGGUAGGUUGGGUGGGGGACGACUGUUGAUCUCAUUCUUUUUAUUUAAAGUAUUUAAUUCACAAUUUGUCAUGUUUAUUUUUCCUACCACCAGAAACAGAUUGGUCUAUACUAUCCUCCAGUGUGUAAUGAAAUAUUAUUCAGUCCUCACUGUUCUACAUGUCCCAUCCUCCCUGUAUGUGGUUUGGUCUGAUAUAUUCUGUAUUAUCCCUGUCACUGUUGACAAUUACUCUUAAACUUGUAUCCGAUUCCA